rnacentral:rRNA from 1 species
UACGAAGGGGGCUAGCGUUGCUCGGAAUGACUGGGCGUAAAGGGUGCGUAGGCGGGUCUUUUAAGUCAGGGGUGAAAUCCUGGAGCUCAACUCCAGAACUGCCUUUGAUACUGAAGAUCUUGAGUCCGGGAGAGGUGAGUGGAACUGCGAGUGUAGAGGUGAAAUUCGUAGAUAUUCGCAAGAACACCAGUGGCGAAGGCGGCUCACUGGCCCGGUACUGACGCUGAGGCACGAAAGCGUGGGGAGCAAACAGG